UCUGGGGUGGAGGUUGCGGGGAAUACCAGUCCAGAGCAUUUAAAUGAAACCAUGAAGAAUGAGAAGGGCCAGAGAUGGCCAAGCAGCAGGUGGGAGAUGAGGGUGGGGACAGCCCUCUGAAUGUGGCCAAGCCACAGCCCCAGUAAAGACCUGGAGGAAGGAAAGAACUACCAUGGAGCUGUGGGAGCCCUGGGGUGUGGCAGGAAGGUGGGGUGAGGACAGCACAGUGAUUGCAAACCAAAAGGGAAUGUUUGGAAUGUUCAGAAUGAAGAAGUCAGCUUCUCAGGGCUCAGUGGAGAGAGAUUAACAUUCCUGUGGCUCCAGGAUAACUGGGAGCCUAGGCCAUUUUCUGCUUCAGCUGAGACUUGGAGAUUACCUUGGAUGACUGCCCAGUAAAAUAACCAACAGACAUCAUUGUUCAGACUUGCCCUAGGAGCAGAACCAGUAUCUGGGCUAUAGUUGAAACUCUAGAGGACAGGACUGCUGUUCCUCCCUUCCUAAUGUGGAAUAAAGACCGAAGUUCCCUGAUCACUGCGAUGGCCCCACGGCACAUUUCCUGGACGCACUGAUGGGCUCUCACUUCCCGCCUCAUCUCAGAGCCCCUCAGCAGGGCACCUCGCUGCUUGUAGGGCAGGAAGAGAUCAACAUGGAAGGUUUGGGUUUGCAAUUUAAGCUCUACCAGUCCAGGGAUUGAGUAGCUGCUAUGGCUCUGUUUCACGCCCUCUCAGCUCUCAGGAGUGUCCAGCAGCCUCACAACAGGAGCACCAUGAUGACAGGAGGAAAAGAAAGCUGGGCUGCUAAGCAGCAGCAGACGGGACUUCACGUGGUAUAACUACACAUUGGGUGUUGCUUUGUUUAAUGUCUGUCUCUGCCAUGAAAUGCAAGCCCUAUAAGGGCAGAGCCUGUGCCUUUUGCUCAUUGUUCUUUCCCAGCACCUGGAACACUACAUGCACAUAACAGGCCCUUAAUAAAGAUUUGGUGAAUAAA